rnacentral:rRNA from 1 species
AUGCUCGCUGGUUUGCUGGGGCACAGUGGUCUGUCACCGCAAGCAACGGAGGUCUGGAGAAGGAUGCUCGGAGAAGGGCACAAGCCUGACUCCGUCGUGCUGUCGACGAUGCUCUGCCAUCACCCUGAUGAUGGCAAACAGGGACCGGAGGUUCAUGCCUGGGUGAUCCGCCAUGGGCUCGACACAGCGUUGUCAGUGGCAAACUCUCUGAUUGGAAUGUACUCCAGAAAGAAUGAGCUAGGCCACGCCCUGUCCGUGUUCGAGUCGAUGCCGGUCAGGGACCUGGCCUCGUGGAAUGCUAUAAUCUCUGGGCACAGCCAAGACUUCAGAGUUCUCAUGAUGUUCCGCCGCAUGGUGGACUCCGGAGUGCGGACGGAUGAGACCACAUUUGCUGCGGUGCUCUUUGCGUGCGACAAUCUAGGGUUGGUGGAGGGCGGCAUGAGGCUGUUCUCUGAGAUGGAGAACAAAUACAGAAUUCAGCCUACUGUACAGCACUGUACCUCUGGUGAACAUGCUAGGCAAAGCUGGGAUGGUGGAUGA